UACGAAGGGGGCUAGCGUUGCUCGGAAUCACUGGGCGUAAAGGGUGCGUAGGCGGGUCUUUAAGUCAGUGGUGAAAUCUCCGGGCUCAACCCGGAAACUGCCAUUGAUACUAUCUGUCUUGAAUAUCGUGGAGGUAAGCGGAAUAUGUCAUGUAGCGGUGAAAUGCUUAGAUAUGACAUAGAACACCAAUUGCGAAGGCAGCUUACUACCCGAAUAUUGACACUGAGGCACGAAAGCGUGGGGAUCAAACAGG
rnacentral:rRNA from 1 species